UACGUAGGGGGCUAGCGUUGUCCGGAUUUAUUGGGCGUAAAGAGCGUGUAGGCGGCCAUGUAGGUCCGGUGUGAAAACUCGAGGCUUAACCUCGAGAUGUCAUCGGAAACCAUUUGGCUAGAGUCCGGAAGAGGAGAGUGGAAUUCCUGGUGUAGCGGUGAAAUGCGCAGAUAUCAGGAAGAACACCCGUGGCUAAGGCGGCUCUCUAGUACGGUACUGACGCUGAGACGCGAAAGCGUGGGGAGCGAACAGG
rnacentral:rRNA from 1 species